ensembl:lncRNA
GAUUGUCCGGGAUAUCAUUUAAUAUGUUUCUCUGUCCUAUGCAUUUCCUGUAUUAGGUAAUUGAGUAUGGAGGCUAGACCAGAUUCGGGUUUGAUUUUCUCAGAAAGACUAUUUCCUAGCGAGUGGUGUUUGCUCUCUCUCUCUCCUCUCUUCCUCCCUUCCUCCUUAUUUAUGUGCAUAUCUUGUUCCAGUAUCUACCUAAUGAAAUAAUAGCUGUAUUUCAAAAGAUUAAUAAUAGAUAUUACAAGAAACACUUUCAAAUUGUUUUCCUAAAAAUAAAUAAAAUUUAAAAAGCACUGGUUCAGUGCAAGUUAAUAUAAUAUUUGGAGAAUCACUUUCGAAGUAGUAAUGUGAGCAAUAGAGCAAGGAGGUCAUGUUAGGAUAAGAAACUGAAAAAAUAAGGCCACAGAUUACUCCUGGCAGCUUUGCCUGAGGAAAGCUUCACAUAGUUCAUAAGAGACUCUUCUCCUCUCUCUAACAUAAGAUCAAGGAAUCAUGUAUUUAAAUGACACAGGGCAGAAAAUGGACACCAUUUAAACCAACAAAGCAACAACAGCAUCAACCCCGGAGUGGAAGCAGCUGAGAAUGGUGACGCUCACCUCCCUGGCCUUCAGCACACAUCACAGAGGAACGUAGAGCAGGGACACAGAGUUGGUGUGGCCUGUGACCUGACCUGAUGACCCAACAGGAUCAUUGAUAUGUUUUUGCAUUUCUGACAAUCAGAUGACCCCACCUGGACCCACCAACCAGUCCUGUCAUCUCCACCCAGGAACUGACUCAGCACAAGAGAACAGCUUCAAUUCCCUAUAAGUUCAUCUCUGACCUAACAAUUCAGCAUGCCUCCUACCUUAGCCCCCUGCCCUCCAAACUGUCUUCAAAAAACCCCUAACCUCCAAGCCUGCAGAAAGGUCGAUUUGAGGAAUAACUCUGUCUCCUGUGUGGCAUGGCUGGACUCGCAUCAGUUAAACUUUCUUUACUGCAAUGCCAUGGUCUUGGGAAUGAAGGCACGAAGUGAUGGACGUCAACCCUGGCCUCCUGCCGUACUCUUUCAUUAUAAGAGUUCAAUUUUUCAACACUUGUGGGAAAAUAAUGAAAGAAAAUACAGAAGAUAACAUUUCUUACACAAUAGUUCGUGUUUAAUGUGUUUCUCAGACACUGUGAGCAGCUUGUGUGACCAGAGUAGAGGGUCAUCCUCCACUGGCGUUUAUUAAAUACUCACUCUUAGUGGUUCAAGUGGAAACAAAGGUCUGGUGAACCGUGUGCUCAUGCCAGCAGGCCCCGCGUUCGCUUCCUUCAGCGUGGUAUUUCUUUGCCUCAGCUCCCUGUCCUGCCACCAUGGCCUGUGCUUGAUGCCAUACAGAGUCCAUUCCAGACACUGUCCUUUCCUUCUUGAGGGCAGAAUGCCUCAGUGCCCAAAGCACGGGGCUUCUAUUUCAGUCAUUCAUCAAAUAGGGACAACCCAACAUUGAAGGAAGAAGAAAAGCUUUCGUUGAUAACCUGCUUAUGAUACAAAACAAAGUGGGGCUUGGGCUGGGACAGGGUGGGCCAGUUUGGAGAUUUCUAGAACGUAGAAGUUGAACGUGGUUUCAGAGACAAAGCCAGUGGUUCCGACAGUCCCUGGUGUGGGAAAAGUGAGGGAGACAUAACGAGCAGGUAAUGGAAAUCUGUGUGUACGGUCUGGAUUGCAGGGAGAGAAUUUACAUGUUUGGAAAGCCAGACCUUAGCUCUGGAGGAAGUGGGUUAGUAGAAAGAAGAGGUAAGCAACUCAUCUACUUGAAUAGUAACUGGUAGCAUUUGUUGCCAGCACAGUGCAAAGCUAUUCAUGACCACAGAUAGGCAGGAGCUUCACUACAAGGAAAGAAACAACAACUUAUUACUGCAAUUAGGGUUCAGCAUUGGACUGGGACAAAUGGAAGGCAUAGGCACCAUCUCCAUUACUUUCUUAAGGGACAUGCCAGUUCUCUAAUCAAGGGGUGUGUUGAACAAGAAGGUGAAAUAAACAGGCCCCUGACUUAGAGAGCAACAGGGACAAGGGCUCCAGCGAGUCACGUUGUCUUUAUUUCUUCAAAAUACCAAUAGCAAUUCUCAACCAAACUCCCACUCAGUUCAGAGGCACCGAUGAGCAACACCUGGGAAAAGCAAAUGACAACUCAAAAACAACGUUGUCACCUAACACGGGCAGAACUCCCACAAAGCUGAUACAUAAAAAUAACGAUUCUUUGUGUGUGUGUGUGGGUGACACAGUGAGACUCUGUCACCAAGGCUGGAGUGCAGUGCGCGAUCUCAGCUCACUACAACCUCCGCCUCCAGGGUUCAAGCAAUUCUCCUGUCUCUGCCUCCUGAAUAGCUGGAAUUACAGGCAUGCGUCACCACUCCCAGUUAAUUUUUUUUGUAUUUUUAGUAAAGACAGGGUUUCACCAUGUUGGCCAGACUGGUCUUGAACUCCUGACCUCAGAUGAUCCACCCACCUCAGCCUCCCAAAGUGCUGGGAUUAUAGGUGCGAGCCCCCAUGCCUGGCCAAAAACGAUGAUUCUUGAACACAUAAGGUUACAGAAAAUGGUUCUCCACUGUGCUCAGCCAGUUCUGAUGCUCACCAGCAAAUACUUGGUUUAAUUAGGAGGAAUGAUUAGGUAUAGGAAGAAAAACCUUUCUAGCCUUCAAAUUAAAAAUUAAGACCUGCUUUUCUGAAAAAAAGAAAAUUAUAUUUUCCCAAUUUAUAGCCAUAAAUCAGUAGAUAGUUUAUAGGUAUGCAUGUAUAAAUCCAUGUAUAUAUUUACCUGUUUAUUGUCAAGAGUUGUCUGGUCAACUCCAUGAGCAGGAAAGGGGAGGGAGACCAUGUGUGUGGGAGCCCAGACCAGGUGCACCCUCUGUGAGUUGUCAAACCCAGUGUGGUAAGCUGAAUAAUAAGCUCCUAAAGACGUCCAGGUCCUAAUCCCUGGAACCUAUGAACCUUACCUUAUAUGGCAAAAAGAAAUUUGCAGAUGUGAUGAAAUUAAGGAUUUUGAAAACAUGCUGGGGAGAUUAUCCUGGUGGAACCUAAAUGUAAUCAAGAGUGUCCUUAUCAGAGAGAGGCAAAGGGAGCUUUGCCUGCAGAAGUAAGAGACAAGCAAGAGGUUGGAGCGAGGCAAAGAAUGGGCCACCAGCAGAGGAAUACAAAUGGCUUCCAGGGGCUGAAAAAGGCAAGGAAACCAUUCCCCCAUAGAAUGAGAUGAGCCAGUCCUGAGGACGUUUUUUAUUUUAGCACAGUGAGACUUCUGGUUUACAGGUCUGCAGGAGAACAGAUUUGGUUGUUCAAAGCUGAUUUUGUUUGUUGCAACAGUCAUAGGAAGCUAAUAGACCAGGGAAACAAUAAAGGUUCUCCUCCCCAAAAUAUGAAUUGUAUCCAAUAGCAGAUAGUAUUCAGGACAUCCAAGACUAGCAUUAAGCUUCAAAGACUUACAUUCAUCAUUAAAAUCCUUCAUCCAAGGGGAUGGGAAUUCACAAUGCAGAGAUUUUGUAGCCCUCUAGGGAUCUGGGACUUGGCUUCUCCCCAUCUUAGGUGAGUGUCCUUAGGCUUAAUCCCAAACUCUUCACUUCCCUGUGUGAGAUCAAUCCUUGCUACCAUACUGAAUACUGCCAGGCAUAGAACUAGAAGUCCAGGCAACGAAACUCACUAAUAAGAUGACAAACCUCAAAGGGUGCCUAAUUCAGCCCACAGCGAUGCUUGACAGAGUGGCCUUGUGGAGCUCCCACAGGGGCUGUGGCUGAGAACGUCUUCAGGCUGAGCUGACCUCCGGCCUGAGCAACAGCUUAGGCCUGGAAAUUCUGAGCUGCUGCCUGGCCCCAGCUGCAGAUAUGAAGCCUUUUCCUCAGCCACCAGCACCGUUCUCCUGCGCUUUCAUUUCCUUUCACAACAGAAAACACAUGGUUGAUAAUUUCCCACAAGGAGAUACUGCUUCUAAUGUGUGUGUGUUGAAAACUAAAUUCCCCUUUUAUUCUGACAACUUUCAGAAAAAAUUCUCAGUUCCUAUAACUGGUCUAGGGUGAGAAGAAGGGGCGUUUUAAAAGAAGCUGCCUUCAAAAUCAUUUGGGCCUUCUUGUUGAACUAACAUGCCUAUAUAGUCCAGUCUUCAUCACAGACCCUAGGAGAGGAUCCAACACCAGGUAAAUCCUCAGGAGAACAUCUUGUCUAGUUCCAG